rnacentral:rRNA from 1 species
GAAUCCCGUCUUUGACACGGACUGCCUGUACAUUAUGGUGUGCUCUCGAAGAGUCGAGUUGUUUGGGAAUGCAGCUCAAAAUGGGUGGUAAAUGCCAUCUAAAGCUAAAUAUUGGCGAGAGACCGAUAGCGAACAAGUACCGUGAGGGAAAGAUGAAAAGAACUUUGGAAAGAGAGUUAAACAGUACGUGAAAUUGCUGAAAGGGAAACGCUUGAAGUCAGUCGCGUUGGCUAGAAAUCAACCUUGCUUUUGCUUUGUGUACUUUCUGGUUGACGGGUCAGCAUCAAUUUUGACCACUGGAUAAAGUCUUUGGGAAUGUGGCAUCUUCGGAUGUGUUAUAGCCCAUUGUCGCAUACGGUGGUUGGGAUUGAGGAACUCAGCACGCCGCAAGGCCGGGUUUCGACCACGUUCGUGCUUAGGAUGCUGGCAUAAUGGCUUUAAUCGACCCGUCUUGAAACACGGACCAAGGAGUCUAACAUGCCUGCGAGUGUUUGGGUGGAAAAACCCAUGCGCGUAAUGAAAGUGACAGCUGAGAUCCUCUCAUCAGGAGCAUCAGCGCCUGGACUUGAUCUACGGAGACGGUUCUACGGUAGAGCAUGUAUGUUGGGACCCGAAAGAUGGUGAACUAUGCCUGAAUAGGGUGAAGCCAGAGGAAACUCUGGUGGAGGCUCGUAGCGAUUCUGACGUGCAAAUCGAUCGUCAAAUUUGGGUAUAGGGGCGAAAGACUAAUCGAACCAUCUAGUAGCUGGUUCCUGCC